rnacentral:sRNA from 1 species
UCCAUGUCCCCCACUCGUCAUUUUAGCGC